UAAAUUCCAAACUCCAACAUCAUUGUCUUUCUUCACACUCUCUAAGAUUGGAGAGAGUAAAUGAAGAGAUAUAUCUUCACUUUCCUCAAGGCAGAGGAUCAUUAUGGUUUCCAUGGUCGAGAAAACAUUAUCAGGAAGAUUCCCGGAAAGUUUCAAACAGUGCUGCUUAGAACCAUGUUCACACAUUGCGCAUCCAACUAGUCCGGCUAGGUACAGUAUCCAGUUAAAAAUCAAUGUAUUUGAUGAUCAACUUCUCGUGCACCAUUAACAUGAUCUUGCUUACCGCGUGAAUCUAAACUCGUCCCCACUGAGAAGCCUUUUCAUUGAAGUUCAUGAUAACAAUUUGUUUGGGCUCAUAAUUCAUUUUUCCCAAUUUUAUUGAAGAUGCACGACAGUAAAAAAAAAAUUCUUUAAUAAC
rnacentral:lncRNA from 1 species